UUUUACAAUGAAGAGUUUGAUCCUGGCUCAGGAUGAACGCUAGCUACAGGCUUAACACAUGCAAGUCGAGGGGCAGCAUAAACUUAGCUUGCUAAGUUUGAUGGCGACCGGCGCACGGGUGAGUAACGCGUAUCCAACCUUCC
rnacentral:rRNA from 1 species